AGCUCCAAUAGCGUAUAUUAAAGUUGUUGCAGUUAAAAAGCUCGUAGUUGGAUUUCUGGUGGGAGUGAUCGGUCCGACUCUUAGCGUGGGUACUUGCAUUGUCUCCGGCCAUCCUUGGGGAGAGUUUGUCUGGCAUUAAGUUGUCGGGCAGAGGAUCCUCAUCGUUUACUGUGAAAAAAUUAGAGUGUUCAAAGCAGGCUUAUGCCGUUGAAUAUAUUAGCAUGGAAUAAUAAGAUAGGACUUUGGUACUAUUUUGUUGGUUUGCGCACCAAAGUAAUGAUUAAUAGGGACAGUUGGGGGUAUUCGUAUUCCGUUGUCAGAGGUGAAAUUCUUGGAUUUACGGAAGACGAACUACUGCGAAAGCAUUUACCAAGGAUGUUUUCAUUAAUCAAGAACGAAA
rnacentral:rRNA from 1 species